UAUUAUUGCAGGCAAAUAUUGUUGAUCAUAGAAAACGUGCAACUGUUUUUAGUUGGAUAACAGGCCUAGUUUCUGCAUCACAUGUCGUCAGAAAUCUCCUAGCACGUUUUCUUCCAGAAGAGUACAUUUUCAAAGUUUCAAUAGCUUUGUUAAUCUUCUGUCCAGUUUAUAUGGCCUUCUUUCUCGUUGAAACGGUUAAAUCAACUCCAAAGCUGGAUCAACAUUCAUCUUAUUUGAAUAAAGCACUCACGGUUGUACAAGAACGUUAUAAAA